rnacentral:misc_RNA from 1 species
GAUGAAGAACGUAGCGAAAUGCGAUAAGUAAUGUGAAUUGCAGAAUUCAGUGAAUCAUCGAAUCUUUGAACGCACCUUGCGCUCCUUGGUAUUCCGAGGAGCAUGCCUGUUUGAGUGUCAUUAAUAUAUCAACCUCUUCAGCUUAUGCUUGUUGAGUGUUGGAUGGUGGGGGUUUGCUGGUGUCUUAUGAAGUCAGCUCCUCUGAAAUGCAUUAGCGGAACAAUUUGUUGACCGUUCAUUGGUGUGAUAAAAAUAUCUACGCUAUUGACGUCAGUCAGUUCAGCUUCUAACAGUCCAUUGACUUGGACAAAUUUUUCAUUAAUGUGACCUCAAAUCAGGUAGGACUACCCGCUGAACUUAAGCAUAUCAAUGAGCGGAGGA